CUACGUGCCAGCAGCCGCGGUAAUACGUAGGUGGCAAGCGUUGUCCGGAAUUAUUGGGCGUAAAGCGCGCGCAGGCGGAUUGGUCAGUCUGUCUUAAAAGUUCGGGGCUUAACCCCGUGAUGGGAUGGAAACUGCUGAUCUAGAGUAUCGGAGAGGAAAGUGGAAUUCCUAGUGUAGCGGUGAAAUGCGUAGAUAUUAGGAAGAACACCAGUGGCGAAGGCGACUUUCUGGACGAAAACUGACGCUGAGGCGCGAAAGCCAGGGGAGCGAACGGGAUUAGAUACCCCGGUAGUCCUGGCCGUAAACGAUGGGUACUAGGUGUAGGAGGUAUCGACCCCUUCUGUGCCGGAGUUAACGCAAUAAGUACCCCGCCUGGGGAGUACGACCGCAAGGUUGAAACUCAAAGGAAUUGACGGGGGCCCGCACAAGCGGUGGAGUAUGUGGUUUAAUUCGACGCAACGCGAAGAACCUUACCAGGUCUUGACAU
rnacentral:rRNA from 1 species